GCCCAGGUGGCGGAAUUGGCAGACGCGCUAGGUUGAGGGCCUAGUGAGCUAACCACGCUCGUAAGGGUUCAAGUCCCUUCCUGGGCACCA
rnacentral:tRNA from 10 species